rnacentral:rRNA from 1 species
ACGCUAGCGGCAGGCCUAACACAUGCAAGUCGAGGGAGAGGUUACCUUCGGGUAACCAAAACCGGCGCACGGGUGCGUAACGCGUAUACAAUCUGCCUUUCACAUAGGGAUAGCCCGAAGAAAUUUGGAUUAAUACCUAAUGGUAUAUAGGAGCGGCAUCGUUUUUAUAUUAAAGCUACGGUGGUGAAAGAUGAGUAUGCGUUCUAUUAGCUAGUUGGAGAGGUAACGGCUCCCCAAGGCGACGAUAGAUAGGGGUUCUGAGAGGGAUGUCCCCCACACUGGUACUGAGAUACGGACCAGACUCCUACGGGAGGCAGCAGUGAGGAAUAUUGGACAAUGGUCGGAAGACUGAUCCAGCCAUGCCGCGUGCGGGAUGAAGGUCCUAUGGAUUGUAAACUGCUUUUGUAAGGGAAGAAUAAGGAGUACGUGUACUUUGAUGACGGUAUCUUACGAAUAAGCAUCGGCUAACUCCGUGCCAGCAGCCGCGGUAAUACGGAGGAUGCGAGCGUUAUCCGGAAUCAUUGGGUUUAAAGGGUCCGUAGGCGGGCUGAUAAGUCAGAGGUGAAAGCGCUUAGCUCAACUAAGCAACUGCCUUUGAAACUGUCAGUCUUGAAUGAUUGUGAAGUAGUUGGAAUGUGUAGUGUAGCGGUGAAAUGCUUAGAUAUUACACAGAACACCGAUAGCGAAGGCAUAUUACUAACAAUUUAUUGACGCUGAUGGACGAAAGCGUGGGGAGCGAACAGGAUUAGAUACCCUGGUAGUCCAUGCUGUAAACGAUGGAUACUAGCUGUUUGGAGCAAUCUGAGUGGCUAAGCGAAAGUGAUAAGUAUCCCACCUGGGGAGUACGCACGCAAGUGUGAAACUCAAAGGAAUUGACGGGGGCCCGCACCAGCGGUGGAGCAUGUGGUUUAAU